UGAGAGGAUGAUCAGCCACACUGGAACUGAGACACGGUCCAGACUCCUACGGGAGGCAGCAGUGGGGAAUAUUGCACAAUGGGCGCAAGCCUGAUGCAGCCAUGCCGCGUGUGUGAAGAAGGCCUUCGGGUUGUAAAGCACUUUCAGCAGUGAGGAAGGCGGGUACGUUAAUAGCGUGCUCGUUUGACGUUAGCUGCAGAAGAAGCACCGGCUAACUCCGUGCCAGCAGCCGCGGUAAUACGGAGGGUGCGAGCGUUAAUCGGAAUUACUGGGCGUAAAGCGCAUGCAGGUGGUUUGUUAAGUCAGAUGUGAAAGCCCGGGGCUCAACCUCGGAACAGCAUUUGAAACUGGCAGACUAGAGUACUGUAGAGGGGGGGUAGAAUUUCAGGUGUAGCGGUGAAAUGCGUAGAGAUCUUGAAGGAAUACCSGUGGCCGAAGGCGGSCCCCCUGGACAGAUACUGACACUCAGAUGCGAAAGCGUGGGGAGCAAACAGGAUUAGAUACCCCUGGUAGUCCACGCCGUAAACGAUGUCUACUUGGAGGUUGUGGCCCUGAGCCGUGGCUUUUCGGAGCUAACGCGUUAAGUAGACCGCCUGGGGAGUACGGUCGCAAGAUUAAAAACUCAAAUGAAAUUGACGGGGGCCCGCACAAGCGGUGGAGCAUGUGGUUUAAUUCGAUGCAACGCGAARAACCUUACCUACUCUUGACAUCCAGAGAACUUAGCAGAGAUGCUUUGGUGCCUUCGGGAG
rnacentral:rRNA from 1 species